rnacentral:rRNA from 1 species
GAUGAACGCUGGCGGCGUGCCUAAUACAUGCAAGUCGAGCGAACGGAUAAGGAGCUUGCUCCUUUGAAGUUAGCGGCGGACGGGUGAGUAACACGUGGGUAACCUACCUAUAAGACUGGAAUAACUUCGGGAAACCGGAGCUAAUGCCGGAUAACAUAUAGAACCGCAUGGUUCUAUAGUGAAAGAUGGUUUUGCUAUCACUUAUAGAUGGACCCGCGCCGUAUUAGCUAGUUGGUAAGGUAAUGGCCUACCAAGGCGACGAUACGUAGCCGACCUGAGAGGGUGAUCGGCCACACUGGAACUGAGACACGGUCCAGACUCCUACGGGAGGCAGCAGUAGGGAAUCUUCCGCAAUGGGCGAAAGCCUGACGGAGCAACGCCGCGUGAGUGAUGAAGGUUUUCGGAUCGUAAAACUCUGUUAUUAGGGAAGAACAAAUGCGUAAGUAACUGUGCGCAUCUUGACGGUACCUAAUCAGAAAGCCACGGCUAACUACGUGCCAGCAGCCGCCGUAA